UGUCGAAUCGGAGGCGAAUACCGCCCGCCGUCCCUGGUCGCUGCCGCUGCCAUCUAUGCUGGUGAACUGCUGUUUCUUGGAGAUGACGCCAGGUGGAUGCCAGGACUGAGCUGCGUUUAUCGCUCAAAAGAGGAUGUGCAAUCGCUGGCGACGCUUCUUUUAGUAGAGCUGAGCCAUUCGCGAGCUUCUUCUCUGCAGGGAGCGCGAAAAAAGUACUCAAGCGAAUCGCGCUACGGGAACCUGGUGUCGUGCGCCGAGGUGGCGCCCGAACGUGCCCU